CCUACGGGUGGCUGCAGUGAGGAAUAUUGGUCAAUGGACGAGAGUCUGAACCAGCCAAGUCGCGUGGAGGAUGACUGCUCUAUGGGUUGUAAACUUCUUUUAUAUGGGCAUAAACUGUUCAACGUUGGGGAGUUUGUAUGUACCAUCUGCAUAAGUAUAGGCUAAAUCCGUGCUAGCAGCCGCGGUAAUACGGAGGGGCCGAGCGUUAUCCGGAUUUAUUGGGUUUAAGGGGGGCGUAGGUGGAUUGUUAAGUCAGUUGUGAAAGUUUGCGGCUCAACCGUAAAAUUGCUGUUGAAACUGGCAGUCUGGAGUACAGUAGGGGUGGGCGGAAUUCGUGGUGUAGCGGUGAAAUGCUUAGAUAUCACGAGGAACUCCGAUUGCGAAGGCAGUUCACUGGACUGCAACUGACACUGAGGCCCGAAAGUGUGGGUAUCAAACAGGAUUAGAUACCCGGGUAGUC
rnacentral:rRNA from 1 species